AAAAUGGGUUUUGUAGCACUGUUCAUUAUACACAAAUGUAUUUAGUUACAUUAACACAUACACAUUUAUUUUUAAGACAAAAUACAAGUGUAAUGUGUUAUGCUAAAUCAAUUGGUUAUUCACUCUGGUUUAUCUAACUACCUAUCUUUAAACUAAAGUAAUUGGUUUACUUUUGCGAUUCAAAUACCGGAUGUGACGUCAUUUAACGACUUCCACGCACGAAGACGGCGCGCAGGUGAUGGUGUUUCGGUCAUACCACAAUGACUUCUCCAGUCUGGCUAAAAGUUGUCAUUCCUUCUUCAGUGAGUGACCUGUCAAAGGAAAUAGAAAAACAAUGUAAUCUACAAGGACAUUUAAGGAUGCAGUUCAUGGAUUCUGACUUGGGCAAUUAGUUUUAAAGUGAAAUUAAAUUUACUCAAGCCCAAACCAGCUGGAAUUUCCAGUGCUGCUUACCAUAUAUAUAUAAAAAAAAAAAACAUGCAACGCUGAGGUCAACAACUGCCCUUACCAUCCACAAACGGAGACAUCCAAAACACUGGAAGUAGUCAGUGUAAUACUUCUGUCUGAAAUUAAAAAGAACAAUGAGAAAACAUUAUGAAUGCUGAUGGACAUUUUUUUUAUCAGGAGACAUGAGGUUGUCAAGAAAUCGCCUUCAAUAGCAGAUUUCAAAACUAGAUGGCCUGCUCUUUUCAGAAGGGAAGAGAUUUGUGCAGAGUUUUAAAGAAUCGCAACAGCCCCAUUGGUGUCUACAUACUUGGCGAGGAUGGAUCAAUAUUCUGCAAAGCUUAUAAGGAUCUAUGCAAAACGAGGAGUCGUCAAUUGACCGAGAAUUAAAAACCUGCUGGUUUCCACAACAUGGACUGACAACAUUGAUCAGACUCCGAUCUUUCUUUGUCUACCUGAACGAAGACCCGACCAGUCUAAUUAAAGAGUACUUGGAUACAGAUGCACCCAAUACCCAGGAGGCGAUCCAGAAGAUGGUGAUGGGAGUGCUUGUUGUAAAAAUGUAUGGUUCAGACAUCAAAGACAGCCCAGCAGAUGUUGGAGUGUUAUUGAAGGGAUUAAGAGUUCUUGGACCUCAACAACAUUGUGUAUGCGACAACCAUGUUUAUGGGACUGAUAUAUGCACUGAACUUGAGCUACUUUCCUGAAUUCAGGUACACUUUUGAAGUAUUGCAGUUGUUGUUUCUGGAGCUAGAUGGGAAGUAACUAUCUCAUAAAGUUCAGACGCUGAAGACCAAGCCUUUUGCAGAUGUUUCGAGAAAGGAAUGUUUUAAUAUUUCAUAUGUAAAUGUCAUGUUUUUGAAAUGGAGUUUUCGUGCAUUUCAUUUGUCAGUAACUGUUAAAAAAUUGUAAUGUUGUUAUAAGGUUACAUUGUAAUAUCCAAAGUCCUUAAAAACUUUGCAAGCUUUUCAAGUUGAUGAGUGCAUCUCAUUUGUUGGUAUAUCCUUUACGGUAUCUGUAGUUUAAGUGCAAUAAACAUGGCUUCAAGAACUGGUGUAUGAGAUUAUUUUUUGAAUAAUAUAGAGUUUAUUACAAAAAGUAUAUUUUUGUGUGUGAUGUACUUGAAAUAGACAUUGUUGUGUUAAAGUAACUAAAAGUAAUUGGAUGGAACCACGGUCCACAAUGUAAUUGAGUUGUAUGAAUAAACUACUCUUGAGUUGGACAAGCAAAAAAUAUUUGAUUCGUUUGAACAAGUUAAACACGUGUUCAGAAAACGUAACAAUCUUAAGUUAUGGAUAAGUAACUAAGAUAAUUUUGUUGAACAUUACCACUUCACAUUAGUUAUUUAUUAUUCAAUUGUGUUGCUGCAACAAAAGAAUUUGGCAUUGACUGAAAACAACCCUUAAAUGUUAAAAUAAAUUAACUGGGUUGUGUGGAACCACUGUACACAAUAAAA